UUAAGCGACUAAGCGUACACGGUGGAUGCCCUGGCAGUCAGAGGCGAUGAAGGACGUGCUAAUCUGCGAUAAGCGUCGGUAAGGUGAUAUGAACCGUUAUAACCGGCGAUUUCCGAAUGGGGAAACCCAGUGUGAUUCGUCACACUAUCAUUAACUGAAUCCAUAGGUUAAUGAGGCGAACCGGGGGAACUGAAACAUCUAAGUACCCCGAGGAAAAGAAAUCAACCGAGAUUCCCCCAGUAGCGGCGAGCGAACGGGGAGCAGCCCAGAGCCUGAAUCAGUGUGUGUGUUAGUGGAAGCGUCUGGAAAGGCGUGCGAUACAGGGUGACAGCCCCGUACACAAAAAUGCACAUACUGUGAGCUCGAUGAGUAGGGCGGGACACGUGGUAUCCUGUCUGAAUAUGGGGGGACCAUCCUCCAAGGCUAAAUACUCCUGACUGACCGAUAGUGAACCAGUACCGUGAGGGAAAGGCGAAAAGAACCCCGGCGAGGGGAGUGAAAAAGAACCUGAAACCGUGUACGUACAAGCAGUGGGAGCACGCUUAGGCGUGUGACUGCGUACCUUUUGUAUAAUGGGUCAGCGACUUAUAUUCUGUAGCAAGGUUAACCGAAUAGGGGAGCCGAAGGGAAACCGAGUCUUAACUGGGCGUUAAGUUGCAGGGUAUAGACCCGAAACCCGGUGAUCUAGCCAUGGGCAGGUUGAAGGUUGGGUAACACUAACUGGAGGACCGAACCGACUAAUGUUGAAAAAUUAGCGGAUGACUUGUGGCUGGGGGUGAAAGGCCAAUCAAACCGGGAGAUAGCUGGUUCUCCCCGAAAGCUAUUUAGGUAGCGCCUCGUGAAUUCAUCUCCGGGGGUAGAGCACUGUUUCGGCAAGGGGUCAUCCCGACUUACCAACCCGAUGCAAACUGCGAAUACCGGAGAAUGUUAUUACGGGAGACACACGGCGGGUGCUAACGUCCGUCGUGAAGAGGGAAACAACCCAGACCGCCAGCUAAGGUCCCAAAGUCAUGGUUAAGUGGGAAACGAUGUGGGAAGGCCCAGACAGCCAGGAUGUUGGCUUAGAAGCAGCCAUCAUUUAAAGAAAGCGUAAUAGCUCACUGGUCGAGUCGGCCUGCGCGGAAGAUGUAACGGGGCUAAACCAUGCACCGAAGCUGCGGCAGCGACGCUUAUGCGUUGUUGGGUAGGGGAGCGUUCUGUAAGCCUGUGAAGGUGUGCUGUGAGGUAUGCUGGAGGUAUCAGAAGUGCGAAUGCUGACAUAAGUAACGAUAAAGCGGGUGAAAAGCCCGCUCGCCGGAAGACCAAGGGUUCCUGUCCAACGUUAAUCGGGGCAGGGUGAGUCGACCCCUAAGGCGAGGCCGAAAGGCGUAGUCGAUGGGAAACAGGUUAAUAUUCCUGUACUUGGUGUUACUGCGAAGGGGGACGGAGAAGGCUAUGUUGGCCGGGCGACGGUUGUCCCGGUUUAAGCGUGUAGGCUGGUUUUCCAGGCAAAUCCGGAAAAUCAAGGCCGAGGCGUGAUGACGAGGCACUACGGUGCUGAAGCAACAAAUGCCCUGCUUCCAGGAAAAGCCUCUAAGCAUCAGGUAACAUCAAAUCGUACCCCAAACCGACACAGGUGGUCAGGUAGAGAAUACCAAGGCGCUUGAGAGAACUCGGGUGAAGGAACUAGGCAAAAUGGUGCCGUAACUUCGGGAGAAGGCACGCUGAUACGUAGGUGAAGCGACUUGCUCGUGGAGCUGAAAUCAGUCGAAGAUACCAGCUGGCUGCAACUGUUUAUUAAAAACACAGCACUGUGCAAACACGAAAGUGGACGUAUACGGUGUGACGCCUGCCCGGUGCCGGAAGGUUAAUUGAUGGGGUUAGCGCAAGCGAAGCUCUUGAUCGAAGCCCCGGUAAACGGCGGCCGUAACUAUAACGGUCCUAAGGUAGCGAAAUUCCUUGUCGGGUAAGUUCCGACCUGCACGAAUGGCGUAAUGAUGGCCAGGCUGUCUCCACCCGAGACUCAGUGAAAUUGAACUCGCUGUGAAGAUGCAGUGUACCCGCGGCAAGACGGAAAGACCCCGUGAACCUUUACUAUAGCUUGACACUGAACAUUGAGCCUUGAUGUGUAGGAUAGGUGGGAGGCUUUGAAGUGUGGACGCCAGUCUGCAUGGAGCCGACCUUGAAAUACCACCCUUUAAUGUUUGAUGUUCUAACGUGGACCCGUGAUCCGGGUUGCGGACAGUGUCUGGUGGGUAGUUUGACUGGGGCGGUCUCCUCCUAAAGAGUAACGGAGGAGCACGAAGGUUGGCUAAUCCUGGUCGGACAUCAGGAGGUUAGUGCAAUGGCAUAAGCCAGCUUGACUGCGAGCGUGACGGCGCGAGCAGGUGCGAAAGCAGGUCAUAGUGAUCCGGUGGUUCUGAAUGGAAGGGCCAUCGCUCAACGGAUAAAAGGUACUCCGGGGAUAACAGGCUGAUACCGCCCAAGAGUUCAUAUCGACGGCGGUGUUUGGCACCUCGAUGUCGGCUCAUCACAUCCUGGGGCUGAAGUAGGUCCCAAGGGUAUGGCUGUUCGCCAUUUAAAGUGGUACGCGAGCUGGGUUUAGAACGUCGUGAGACAGUUCGGUCCCUAUCUGCCGUGGGCGCUGGAGAACUGAGGGGGCUGCUCCUAGUACGAGAGGACCGGAGUGGACGCAUCACUGGUGUUCGGGUUGUCAUGCCAAUGGCACUGCCCGGUAGCUAAAUGCGGAAGAGAUAAGUGCUGAAAGCAUCUAAGCACGAAACUUGCCCCGAGAUGAGUUCUCCCUGACCCUUUAAGGGUCCUGAAGGAACGUUGAAGACGACGACGUUGAUAGGCCGGGUGUGUAAGCGCAGCGAUGCGUUGAGCUAACCGGUACUAAUGAACCGUGAGGCUUAACCUU
rnacentral:rRNA from 1 species